rnacentral:rRNA from 1 species
GACGAACGCUGGCGGCGUGCCUAAUACAUGCAAGUAGAACGCUGAAGGAGGAGCUUGCUUCUCUGGAUGAGUUGCGAACGGGUGAGUAACGCGUAGGUAACCUGCCUGGUAGCGGGGGAUAACUAUUGGAAACGAUAGCUAAUACCGCAUAAUAGUAGAUGUUGCAUGACAUUUGCUUAAAAGGUGCAAUUGCAUCACUACCAGAUGGACCUGCGUUGUAUUAGCUAGUUGGUGGGGUAACGGCUCACCAAGGCGACGAUACAUAGCCGACCUGAGAGGGGGAUCGGCCACACUGGGACUUGGACACGGCCCAGACUCCUACGGGAGGCAGCAGUAGGGAAUCUUCGGCAAUGGACGGAAGUCUGACCGAGCAACGCCGCGGGAGUGAAGAAGGUUUUCGGAUCGUAAAGCUCUGUUGUAAGAGAAGAACGAGUGUGAGAGUGGAAAGUUCACACUGUGACGGUACCUUACCAGAAAGGGACGGCUAACUACGUG